AAGCAGCAUCUGCCUUUUAAGAGCCCCCUGCUCCCCCCUCCCCCCAUUGCUAUGCACCCUGAAGCUUGUGAAACCCUGGUGUAGCUGGUGGGGUGAUCUGGCUCCAGGUGACCUGGUAGCAUUGCCAGUUCCCGGAGAGACAAAGUCCCCAGAGCCAGAGGCUGGGGCGGUGGUGAGACGGCAACUCUUGCCUGUGUGUGGGCACUGUCGGCAGGCUGAUUCAGAGCGCGCCGAAAACUCGGUCACUGGGCAGCCUGGAUGAGCAGCAUGACCACGGGAGCCUUCGCUCAAAGGAAACCUGAGAUCCCACGCUGUUACCACACCUGCUGGUGCACGUGGCCGGAUGUGGGAGCCCCUCAGUUGGGAAGUUUACGUUGCGUCAGUCCCAGCAGACGGCAGUAAGGAUAGCUGUUCUUCUGGUGGAGGGAACAGAUGAUUGGUCAGCUAUACAUCUGGAUCCGUCUCUGGUCCAACCACUGAUCACUGAUGAGGCUCUUCAGCAGUUCGAACGAAAGAGGCCAGGCUGCCAAGGCGUACUGAGCAUGUGUCACGCCCUCGGGGAUUUAUACAUCUGUAGAAUAUUACCACCGAAGGCAAGUGAAGACAUGAUCUCCAAACCCAGCUUUUUCAGGUAUCCUGGCAUCGGCAGAGUUCUCUUCCCCUCAUCUUUGGAAAGUUUCGCAAGCUGGGCCCCUCCUGUGUGUAGCCAACAAUGAUGUUUUGUGUCUUCAUCCCGUUUGAAGGGCCUGGCACACAAACAGCCCAGCCUAUUCAUUCCUAGAGCAAUUUUACAUAUGCAAGACCAAAGCCAAGAUUAAUGUCUUCAUCCUCGACGUGCUCAUUCAGACACGUUCUGGUUUUGCAGUGUGCUUGCAAGGAGCCCCUUAUUCAAGCAGACCAAGAAAACGUGAGACUUUCUACAUGUGUAUUCACUUCACAACCAACAUGUCAAUGCAUGGAUGGUUUUAUUUCUGGUGACCAGCAAAAUAGACGAAAGGAAGAACGGUGAUUAUCAGAAGGCAAGCCAGUGAUUGUUAAAAGCCAGCUGUGUUUGUGUGUCCACCACCGUGCUGAAAGAUCGUUCUGGAGGCUGGACGUCCCAGAUCACGGGCCCAGUACAUUCAGUACUGGGUGAAGACCCGCUUCCUGGUUCAAGGACGUCUGUCUUCUCACUGCGCCCUCACGGAGGAAGACAUAAAUAAAUAUUGACCUGAAAUGACCAGUCUAAGAGGCGUGAUCUCUGUUGGCCAUUUGGAUGAGAAGGUAGGUCUCUUGUUAUCUGCACACUACAGUAUAAUUAAGUAAAGAAAUAGUAACUUUACAUACAGACCUCUGUUAAUCACUCUGUCAAUGGUAGAACUUGCUAAAAUACUCAGUAGAGGUAAGAAACGGAGUCUGGCCAUGCACAAUCAUAGGUAAGAGUCACCAUCGUUAUGCAUUUAUUAUUUUCCGUGAGUUAUAAGUACAUGCAACAGUUAGCCUUCCUGUUCUGGUUACAACGUGAAGGUUUGUAUAAAAAGAUUCAGAGAUAGUUGGAAUCGUGGGAAUGAGCAAACUUAGUUACUAAAUCCAUGGCACAAGGUGUAAGAAAGGGCAUUAAAUAAAUAAGUCAUUAUCACAAGUGACGCUGACUAGUAGGAAGGACAGAAUUACUGUGGGUACUUGCACGAUACAGACACGAGUCAAAAUUCAGCGUCGCCAUCACGGGUUUCAGAGCACAUAAGACACACUACGGGGGCUUUGAAGUCGAAUGUUGUAACUUCCCGGGGCUUACUCCUGUAAUUUACUCAGUUCCUUAUGCAAGGCAAAGAAUCACUGGCUGUCCCCGGUUGGGGACAUCUGGCGGGUAAGGAGCCAGGGAUGCUGUGCUACACCCCAGAGCGUAACCGGCCCCAGCGCCCCAUCUGCUGAGCUGCAGAAAGCCUGCUUUGUAGAGUUAGUGACGGGCUCUUUCAGGUUCCCAGGAAACAGACGUAUCUUUAAACUUGGGUUUGUUUCAUAAUCGUUUCAAAAAACUCCCUGCCAUCAAUUUUAGUGUCUCUACUAUGUCAUAUUAAAACAACAAAUGGCUUAAAAGGGCACACGCUCACUUAUAAAUGUCGCCCCACGGGGCCCCAGUUAGAAAAAGAGGGCAGAACAGGUAACUUCACCGGCCGCUGUGCUGAAGCCGCCAGCCGGGACUUGAGGACUUGCUGUUUUGGGUGGGCAUUUUGAAGAGUGAAUACUGUCACUGAAUAUAUGUGUCCUCAUAGAAGAGAGAUGCAUUUAAUUUCAAUAAGAUGUAUUCGAGACUUAGCCACGUAGACUGUGUUUAGAGAAAAAAAAAAAACAACCCAUAGGUUAUAUCCCUUUAUUAGGGCUCAAAUUUUUAAAAUUAAAGUAUAUUUUGGCUAAUUUGCAUAUGAUUAAAAUUCAUAGAAGAAACUCAUGUUUCUUUAAUCACCCAAUCAAUAGCAUUUUUCUCCCAAAAAUGUGAAUAAUAUUUAAGUUACGAAUGUUACUGCAGAAUUAGAUGCUCCUAGGAGCUGCUUUCGAUUUCCUAAGGGAGCUGUAAGCUUCAGAACGUUCAUGCAAACUAAACAUAGAUUUGCUCAUCGUCUCUUACCCAGAUAAAAGAAACAUAAUUAAACUUUAUAAAAUUAAACUUAUAUAAUAAUUUAAUAUUUUGUAUGUAUGUAUACACGCCUCCAUUUUGAACUAUACAACCAUACAGAAAUUUGCUGGCGCAAAUAUUGGAUUUGUUCGUGACAAAGUAACAGACGAACUUGUAGCCAAUGUUAGACAUCUUCAUUUGCGGAAAUUUGACAAUUUGAAAUUCAGCUGCUGCUAAGGGCACUGGCAUGAGUCAGAGCUUCCUGGAAGAUGCUGUGGUGUUGGGUCAAGCUCGGGGCUGUUUGAAAGGAGGGCUGUCUGCCGUGCUGUGCGUUCCAAAUGCGAAACUCUGGGAACCAGGUGACCUCACACCACGUUGUGCUAAGGGUGUCGCAGACCCUGUUGGGAGCUGCAGAAAACACUUAGGAAGCAACACGCGCUUCCUGCUGAGACUCCCCAGGAGCGUCACUUGUGCUAAGCUGCAAAAUAUUGCCUGUGUCGUCGACUUUUAAAAGUCGUUACCGCACAGGAACCAGUUUUCAGUAUCUGUCACCACAUAUCCAUGCGUAUGGACCGUGUUUCCUAAAGAUGUGCAUCGACAGGACAGGAAAAUCAGUCUCUCUCCAUUUUGUAGCGCAUUUGCUUCCUGACACCGUGGAGAAGCCACAAGAAGUGAAGGAGUCCUGAGUUCUCUCCUCCAGGAGCGGCCAGGGCGUCCGCACGCUCUCAGGAAACCACACCACGGUUUGUUUUUUGACAGAGAAGGGGAGGAGCAGAGAGAAUCCCAAGCAGGCCCUGCACUGUCAGCGUGGAGCCCGACGUGCGGCUCGAACUCACGAACCAUGAGAUCCAGACCUGACUGAAACCCAGAGCUGGACAGUCAGCCUACUGAGCCACCCAGCACCUAUCAUAGGUCACGAACACUUGCACAACAAUGGCUCCAGAAGAAGAAAAUGUGGGAAGACGCCUCAGCAGUAUGGCACGCAUUGUGGCAUGAGUACCCCCCCCCCCACCUCCAGUGGCCGCUGACGACCAGCCGCGGACAUGAGCGACAUGCACACAGGAAGCAAGUCGACACCUACGGAAGGCAGUAUCUGCGACUGUGAGAUGAUGCUGUUGGGCAAGCUGUUCUGUCUGCUCUCCGUCGUGACCUCGGCCCAGGUCACCUGAAAGCCAGUCAUGGGCUGAUAGAGAUUGGCUUUGGCCAUCUUCCAAGAAAAGUGGCCCGUGAUGUUAACAUCUUGGACGACAAACGAGGCAGAAAGGUUCUCGGGCUUGGCGAGCACCUUGGCAGGCACGUGACCUGGAGGGAGAGGACAUAAGAGGCAGAGUUAGGCUGCGGGACGUGGGAGCUGUUUGCACAUAUCGCGGGCACUUCAGGCAGCCGCUCCCCAGGGGAGGCACACGCGGUCUGACCUCGGUCCUCAUGCAGGGCUUCAGGCCAUCACCUCCAUGACCUACGGGGACAGUCAGCCAGAGGUGGUCUCAUGCGGCCACUCUGCUGGGUGGUUUGGGGACUCUCUUUAGGACCCAGCCCUGGGGACGGGAGGAGAGAGGUCUCCGCCACGUGGCAAGAUCUGGCCACUUCCUCAAGAGAGAAGUGAGCGCCAUGACCGGGGUGGGUAGUGACGCUGUGAGAAGUGAUCCCGUGUCAGAGCCGCGUUUCGCAAGUCCUGGGGUACUCGUUCCGCCUCAGGACAGGAGGACAGGUCCCGGUAAGGAGAGCAAACGGAGGAAGGUCAGGGGAGGGGUGUUGUGCAAAGUACGUAAAGGUAGGUCACGUGGCACAGCGGUGGGGUGAAAACGAAAUAAUUUCUAUAGAACACGCCUGAGUACAAGCACUGGAGAAACCUUGGCUUCGUUUCUAAAGGGGUGAUACUGCCAGCAGAGGAUGUCACUGUUAGAGGUGACAGCAGAGGAUGUCGUGCUGUUAGAAGGACAGAAUGUGGCCCACGGCCAUAUACUGCCUCCCAACCUGGGCCGUCAGAUUUAGAAAGCGGGGGACGUUCGCUUUCUCGGGCGUUGUGCAAUACAGUUUGGAAAUGUUUUCCAAGUGUGGCUGGCCUCACAAUGCACGUUCAGCCCAAGACGUACCUGCUUCGCCGGGACAGCUCAUGUGCCGGUGGCUUUUCCCCUUCAGGGCAGAGCACGGCGGAGUCGUGAAGAAAACGGUUUCUGCCUUCAAGCGGCCCUUGGGCCGAAUCGGCUGCACAGUCACCUUAUAUUUGCAGGAAAACGACAGAUCCUGAAGAAUGAUAUAAUUUUCCUAGAGCGAGAGAGAGAGGGAAUAUGCUAGCCAUACGUCUCAUUAGGGACCAAGAUGUGGCAGAUGAGUCCUGUUCUAACCAGGAUAGUUUCCUGUGCAUGCGUGCAGUGUGGCUUUUAUAAAAACUACGAAGGAGACACUGUGCAUGUUCUGGUUCCUCACGACUGUGGGCCGUCCCAUGGCGUGGGACACGGCCCCUGGAAGAGAACAGGACCGCGGCGUGGCAGGACCGAAGCAGCUUCAUGGGACCUUCCAGGCCGCGUGGGACGGUUGCCAGCCACACAGUGAACGCCACAAACUUUGGGAACCACUUAAGAAAACAUAAAAGGAACAACGUUGGCGAGCAUGAGUCGGGACAAGUCAAAUCCAGUAAAAAGCUGUAUUUCUGCAGACCCACUGACAUGUUUUAUCUUACCACCUUAAAGUUACGUGAUCAAGAUAGGAUUCUAAAAAUACCCCACUUGCUUAGAAAAUAGUCCAAAGAAAAAUGUUCUGCCGAAAUAGCGUAUAUCAACAUGUGAGACAUGUGAGGCCAUGCCUUUGGAAAUCUUAGACUGUCCUGCUAGAUCACAGACAAGUUACUGGCAUCGAUAUUCUGGACACCUCACCGCCCUCUGCACCGUUUUGCUGUUGGUCCCUUGAUGGCCCUCUGUAGCUUGUGCAUCAGCCCCAAAUAUUUGGAAUAACACACUGGCUGGUACCGAAGGGUUCCUGCCUGCAAGGACGUAGCGUUCUGUUCAAGUGAAAAGUCAGAAACGGUCCUGGCACACCGGCUGCGACUCAGGGAACGUCUUUCCUUCCCCGGACGAGGAGGAACUAGCCAGCGACGCGGCAGAGCAAGAUGGGACGUGACAGGGUCGGACGGAAGUUCACAGGCACCGUCCCACCCGCAGAUCGUGCUGCCAACUCAGGACUCAGAGAACAAUUCAAAGCUUCUGUCCGGCUAAGUCGAGACACACGGGGGGUCUCAGAAGCGUUUCCCCCUGACCUGGGCGUUCCCCACGAACCGUGUCUGCAGCCUCUGCGUUUCAGGCCCUGCCGUGUGCCCCCACGGGACGGCGCCCUCAGCGGAUACUGCAGGACUGAACACAAGGACCGUUGUGUUUUCACUUCCACCUCGCGAUCACCCAACAGCUAAUCCGUGAGCACGAGCUGUGUGCGUCGUACCCCGGGCACAGCUCUCAGUCCGCGGUGUCCACACAUCGAGGGAAGUGAAGUCGCGCUGAGACUCGGGCGGUGUCACCGUCUCUUACCUGGGUGAUGCCAGAAGAGGUCUCUGCUCCGGCACUGCGGUUGUGGGCACAGACCUCCGGCAGCCACUGCACGUGGUAUCGGUCGACGCUGAGAUCUGUAAGGUCAGAAGGCACAGAGAGGACGGUCUGGAGCCACGGGCCGCACAGCCCGCGGCUCUCAGAUCGCGACAACGGGCAGGGAGGAAAUGAAGCUGUGGAAGGGAGCCGCAGACGCAGAGCCGCGGAGGCGAGCGGGCCUGCAGAACUCACUGUCGGGAGGAAAGCCUGGGGGGAAACCUGGCGAAAUGCGAGAGCCAGCCGGAAAGCACAGGAAAGUCACAGCCACGGGGCUGUCAGGAGGUCUUGAGAGAAACGUAGCCGCGGGGCCGGCGCUGAGCGGAACCCCCACAAGAAAGGGCGGCACUCGGCCGUGGGCGUCUUUGCUCCUGGGAGACGGAAUGAGCGUCCCGAGUGUGAAUCCCACAGGUGGCUGACAGAGCCGACAGACCCAGGCAAAAUCGAAGCGUUUUCCUCACGCUGGGAGCACUGAGCAGUCCGACGAGCUCCCCUGUGUGCCUCACACGUUCCCCCAGCACAGACCCAGGUGGGCACCUUUCCCUUCCAGCGUGCACAGGUGCAUAUCCUCACACGCCCGAGUGUCUGAUCUCUGCGGAACCCUGACUUGCCGUCCAAGACAGAACGUGGGUUCCCUGGCACAGCGUGUCCACUGCCCACACGUGGCCUCACUUGGGGCAAAUCUCUCAGAUAAAGGACAGACUGAUGACGAGCCCCCCGCCGAGCGUGGGAAGAGGAGGUGUGGCCGGCAUCAGGUUUAUUCACCAACCCGCGGGCCCGAAGGUGUGGAAAGGCACUGCCCUGCCACCGAUUAACACCGCGUCCCCGCUGUUCACGCCAAGUGUUUCACGGAGGUUUCCAGAGGGUUAAACGCUUUGACGGGAUUGGGUGGUUCUAGUGGGAGUUCACUUGGAGCACUUUGGAUCGAGAAAAGAGGAGCUUUCAGUCAGAGAGGACGAGCGGAUAUCAAGCGGGCACCAUCAGUUCCGGGAACCACUUACCAGAGGUUUUAAGAAUUACCCAACAGGCAUCGGGGCUUUUUUUUUUUUUCAGGGGAAGAAUCGUACGUUAUACACAAGAAUGAAGUCAAUGAAUGAAUUCAUAUGCUUUCUUUCAAGUGGUGCCGUUCCAGGUAUACAAACCGCUGCUCUCGGGACUUAAAAGCUCACAGAGCUACAUAAACAACAAACAAAGCAUGUAAAUGUACGUUAGGCCAGAAGGUAAUUUGGCUACAGAUUAAUGCCCAAGAUAAGCAGGCAGGUGUGUUGCCUUAUCGAUUCACUGGCUUAUCUCCUUGAGACAGAACUUUGCAGUGAACGUGGGGAGGAGGCCUGGAGGUUGCUGUGGGCAGAGCAUGCGGCCGCGAGCAGGCCAUCUGCCUGCCACUGCCCAGCUACGGUGUUUGCAAUGACGAAAAUACCGCGCAUGUGGUGGCCCCUAGUCACUCGUGCCUGUAAAGCAACUGAAGUUCGUGGGUCCGAGCCCCGCGUCGGGCUCUGUGCUCACAUCUCGGAGCCUGGAGCCUGCAGCCUGCUUCGGGUUCUGUGACUCCUCUCUCUGCCCCUCCGCCUCUCACGCUCUCUCUCUCUCUCUCAAAAAUAAACAUGAAAAAACAACAUUUAAAAACAUUUAAAGACCUUAUCUGCUUUCAUGCUAUAACACUGUUUAUGAUUGUAGAAGCUUGAAAUAGACUUCUACUUACUUUUUCUGGGUGAGCUUACAUAUUACAACAUUUACAAUAUGCACUUUCCCUCUUUAAUAACUUCAAAAUGGCUCGUUACUGACCUCCUUGGCAUAGCAACCUGAUACUUGGGAUCAUUUCCUCAUUAACAACACUGGCAAGAAGAAACUGCUCUAGGGGCCUUGCCAACUAAAUUCUGUAGCAAUAAGGAUAACCAAAAAUACCUUUCCCAGCAAAACAAGUGACAAGAAAGGUCAAAGAGAAAAUUUAAGGGACGUAGAUAAGAACCGAAAAUUGUAUCUUGGGGUGCCUAGGUGGCUCAGUCGGUUAAGCGUCUGACUUCAGCUCACGUCAUGAUCUCACGGCUUAUGGGUUCGAGCCCCUCAUUGGGC